GGCCUAAACUUGAGGGUAUUCAAGCCUUCAGGCAUGGCGAAAAACCAGCAAAGGACAGACAACCUGUCAUCAGGAAUCCUUUGCUGGUCGUGUGGGGAAACCCAUACGUUUGGGGCGCAAGCUCCA
rnacentral:sRNA from 1 species